AUUGAACGCUGGCGGCAGGCUUAACACAUGCAAGUCGAACGAGUGGCGGACGGGUGCGUACUGUCUGGGAAACUGCCCGAUGGAGGGGGAUAACUACUGGACACGGUCGCUAAUACCGCAUACCAUUGGAUGCGCCCAUAUGGGAUUAGCUAGUAGGUGGGGUAAUGGCUCACCUAGGCGACGAUCCCUAGCUGGUCUGAGAGGAUGACCAGCCACACUGGGACUGAGACACGGUCCAGACUCCUACGGGAGGCAGCAGUGGGGAAUAUUGCACAAUGGGCGCAAGCCUGAUGCAGCCAUGCCGCGUGUAUGAAGAAGGCCUUCGGGUUGUAAAGUACUUUCAGCGGGGAGGCGUUACUCGCAGAAGAAGCACCGGCUAACUCCGUGCCAGCAGCCGCGGUAAUUC
rnacentral:rRNA from 1 species